AAGGCCUUAAGUUAAGCAAACUAAUAUCCUUCAAAGCUAUAAAUAAAGGGCUCCCUUUAGGCCUUG
rnacentral:tRNA from 2 species